GCCUUGACUGCCUGACGGAUCACCUUCCGCUCCGAGGCCGCCAGUUCCUCCUCGCCGUGACUCAUGCCUAUUGUGCCAGGCUGGGCGCACUCUGCCCUGCAGCCCCACAGGUGGUAUCGGCUAGGAAAGACAGUUCCCGCCAGGCUAGGCAGUGGAGUGCUGCACAGUGCGCCUUCCCGCCUCUCAGCCGCUGCCCCAGCAGUUCCGACCCAGCGCCAGCAGGCCUGCUCUGUCGAUCUUCGAGCCAAAGAUGAGGCGGGGCUGGAAGAUGGCUCUGUCUGGGGGGCUACGGUGCUGCCGCCGUGUACUUUCCUGGGUGCCAGUGCUCGUUAUCGUCCUCGUCGUGCUCUGGUCCUACUAUGCCUACGUCUUUGAACUCUGCCUGGUGACUGUUUUGAGCCCAGCGGAAAAAGUUAUCUACCUUAUAUUCUACCAUGCCAUCUUUGUGUUCUUUACCUGGACCUACUGGAAGUCUAUUUUUACACUCCCACAACAGCCAAACCAGAAGUUCCACUUGUCCUAUACAGACAAGGAGCGAUAUGAAAAUGAAGAGAGACCUGAGGUCCAGAAGCAGAUGCUUGUUGAUAUGGCCAAGAAGCUACCAGUUUACACAAGAACUGGGAGUGGAGCCGUAAGAUUCUGUGACCGGUGCCAUUUGAUCAAGCCAGAUCGCUGCCACCACUGCUCUGUCUGUGCCAUGUGUGUAUUAAAAAUGGACCAUCAUUGCCCUUGGGUUAAUAACUGCAUUGGAUUUUCCAACUAUAAAUUCUUCCUUCAGUUCUUAGCUUAUUCUGUUCUCUACUGCCUCUAUAUUGCCACAACGGUCUUCAGCUAUUUCAUCAAAUACUGGAGAGGGGAAUUGCCCAGUGUUCGCUCUAAGUUCCAUGUCCUUUUUCUCCUCUUUGUGGCCUGCAUGUUUUUUGUCAGCCUUGUGAUUCUCUUUGGUUACCAUUGUUGGCUUGUCAGCAGAAACAAAACCACCUUAGAGGCCUUCUGUACGCCAGUGUUUACAAGUGGUCCAGAGAAAAAUGGGUUCAACCUUGGUUUCAUCAAAAAUAUCCAGCAGGUGUUUGGAGAUAACAAGAAGUUCUGGUUAAUACCUAUUGGGUCCAGCCCGGGCGAUGGACACUCCUUCCCUAUGAGGUCCAUGAAUGAGUCACAGAACCCAUUGCUAGCAAAUGAAGAGCCCUGGGAAGACAACGAGGAUGAUAACCGAGAUUACCCAGAAGGAUCAUCAUCUCUUGCCGUGGAAACAGAAACGUAGCAGUUUUCAUAUUUCCCACAUUUCUCAAACAGGCAAAAAGCACCAUUCCUACAACUCCAACUCUCUCAGAAUGCUACUAAUUUUUUCAUCAGUGGCAGGUAGCCUUACACAUGGGAUUCUCUGUGGCCUAGUGAAAAGCUUAACAGCCUUCUCUUUGCAAGAUUCACAGGACCCUCCAUCUCCCAUGAGGCUUAUAGAGUUCAGUGUUGGAAACCAUUCUAAUCUUCAAAAUAAGUCACCAUGGCGGACUGAAAUCUUCACAACUUGAAAGCAUUCCAUCAAAUACUUGCUGUGCAGAUAGAUGUUUCAGGACUUUACAAGUUAUUUAUUAGCUGAAUUCAUCAAUCUGGUAGCAAUUAAUUCAAGCCAGUCUUCCUCUCUUUCUUUAUUUCCCCUCCCUCCAUCUGUGAAAGCCUAAAUGUAAAGUGUAUAUCUUUUCAGAGGCUCUUUUCAUUCCUCUUGUCAGGUAAAGUGGAACUCAAAAGACCAAGAUUCUUUAACUUCCCUAGAAAGACUGUUAAUCAUACCAGUAGGGUCUUUGUUGUAUUGAGGGGAAUCAAACUAUGCUUGCUGCUUGUAUGCAUGUGCAUUUAUAAUCAUGCAUAUAUGCAGCAUAUUUACACAAAAUUCUGCUGUGGUGUUGUGAAAAUCAAGGUUUAAAAAAUCUGGAGUUUUUAUUCAAUCAUACUUUUUCCUAAAUAGCAAUUAAAUAUUUGCUAAGCUGUGAACACCUUCCCCAUAUCAGGUACCUAAAAUUUAGGAGGAGGAUUCAACACUGUGAUCGAGGUCCUUGAAUUGAGAAUUGAACAAUGUAAAACCUAUUCCUGAAGGCACCACCGCUAAUAGAGAUCGGAUCAGAUUUCUACUAUAUUUAUCAUAAUGAUUGGUGUUUUAAAGACUUUAAUGCCAGACUAUGGUAAAAUUCUCCAAAAACUUUUAUUCUUUUCUAUGCUACCUAGCUUUAUUUUAGCCUUUAUGAAUUACUUUUGUGAUAAAAGAAAAACUAUAAGCCUAAAUUAUUAACCAUUGGUUUAGUUAAGAGGUUUAAGGAUGAUGUCAGGUUUAAUUAUCAUACUGUUAAUAAAGGUAAACUUCCACAGUUGAAAUUAGCCUAAGAACUUAGCACUAAAUAUGUGUGUUUUCAUAACAGGGAUUAUUGUACAGAUAGUGAAAGCCUAAUAGUAAUAUGCCAAUUCUUUGUUGUUGUUGUUGUUGUUGUUCUUUUUGUUUGUUUGUUUCAGUAGUAGUGCAGCCAUUUAAGGUAGUUUACAUGGAUUUCCCAAUUUAUAAGCCUUUCUUUUAGUCCUAGUGCCUGAAUCAAUGAAAAGGGAUACUAAUGCUGCUUCUCUAUAAUAAUAAUGCCUAAGAGUAUUGAUAGUUUUCAUUUCUCAGUCAUUGCUUUAGUUCCCAGCUGCUAACAAUAGAAGUCCUAACUCUGUUUACAAAGAUCAGUGAGUUAGAGGCAUCUUACUGAUAUCAAGUUGUUGAACUCCUAGAGGGAUAUUACGUUUGCUAAAUUACUCCUCCUAAAACCCUUUUUAGUAAAAAGAGUUGCCUGCCAUAACUCUUUGGCUUCAGUGGAGCUACGAAUGUGAGCAAUCCAGUUACUUAAAGCAAUGAAAGACCUGUUCAUUUGAAUCCUCUAGGUAAUUGUAGUCAAGGUUAAGACUUUCAGCAUAAACUAAAUGGGGUGUGGCCAGCAUUUCAUUUGAGAGAAUACUAGCUGUGAUUAAAUCUAUUAGGGCCAAGGACUGUUUCUCAAACUCAGAUGCCAAUAAGUAGCCUAGAAGACUAUGCACACUGGGUUUCAUGAUGAAAUCAUGUAUGUUCAAAUAGGAAGAUUUUCUCCCCUUCCUCUUUCCCUUCAAAACACUCUUGUUUGGGUUUAUAUUGAAAGCUUAUUUGAUCAUUCACAUGGUCUUAUGUUUGACAAGCCUUGCCUUAUAUUCAUAUAGAAAUGUACCUUUCCUAAAGGUAGGGCUGUUCCUUACUUCACAGCCAGUUGGCAUCAAAGCAAUCUUUCCCUUCCCCAUCCAUCACCUUCUGCCAAGGGUUAAGCAGAAUAGCUGCUAACUGUGAUUCAAAGUCAGGAAGGAAUCAAGAACUUGUUUGAUGAAUAGAAUGUAUCAGCACUCAGAAAUCAGGUCAUAAAAGGCAGUAUCAGAGAACUCUAAGGAAGCACUGGAAGGGUAAAACUCAGGAAAGCUAUAAUGCAAAGAUGAUUGCUUAAUGUCUUACAGACUUACACUGUCUUCUAAAGGCCAAAAAAUCAGGGUUUUACCUGGGGACUUAGGGAAAUAAAGAAACCCUAUUCCUAUCUCUGAACCUUGACUCCACUAGUUUGUAGACUCUGAUAUUAUUCCUGUUAUAGAUCAUUGAGUACUGACUUCUGUACCUAGACACACACCCUCAAUUGGUUGACUAUUUAUAUAUAAGAAAGAGAAGUUUGUUUGAUAAUUACAUACAUACCCUGACCUGGCUCCUUUGCUUGCUUUUCCUUGGGGCCAUGUCUAAUACCCUCUGUGGGAUUUCAUUCCCCAAUCUUUGGUACCCAUCUUCCCCAUUUGCAAAACAAAGACACUAAUUGUUAGGAUCAUACAGGUGAAAGGUGCUAUGUAACUCCCCAGUGCUCUUAUAUAUCUUUCAUUGCAGGACUGGAAUGAAAAGUCUAACCAGAACAGUAUUUCUAAACAGAUCAGUGUGCUCCAUUCUUUCUUCCAUGCUGUCAUUGACGAUUGUUCUUACAGAGCUUAGAGUACUUUAUUACUGUUAUUCCAUUCAUUCCAACAGUAUCCUUGGGAAGAGACAGAAUAGAAAUUACUUUCCUCACAGUCGAACCUGAAAAAAUUAAAGGCAAAUGAAAUGAAGUGCCCUCCAAAACAAAUAGCUGUCUGGGACAGAACUCACAGUUGCCAUGUCCAGUGCACUGUUAGAAUGACUUAGCUUCCCAGUAUUGGAAUAACCAUGGAGCAGCUUAGAACAUAACAGCAAGCAGGGCAGGAUUACAUUUCAAAAUAGUCUCACUUUGUCCAAAAUCUGAAAGUAUGCAAUUAAUAUAAUUCUUAUUUUCUGUGUGAUAGAAAUGCUAUAUGUGCUUCUUUUCCCCUCUUUCCCCAUGUGACACAUGUAUUUUACACCGAAUGGCAUCAGCCAGUGCUGUUAUGUCCUCUGGCACUCAUAGAGCCCAUCCUCAGGGCUGUUUUUAGCAGAGAAAAGAAUAUGCUUCUCCAUGUUAAUGCCAAAUUGCACAAAGUGUAGACAUUGAGAUUAAUGGUGAUUUACGCACAAUCCUAGCAGGUUUGUUUUAAGAAUAUUUAAUAUACAUUAUUUAAUGUGCAUCUGAAAUUUAACAUGGCCCAAAUUCAUAGGAAUGUAACAGUCAUGCAAAGCCUGUCCUUUUCACCUAUCAUCACACAUAUAUACAUGAGUGCACACACAUACAUGCCCCCAAAGCAGGCUGCCUGGUCAUUAGGAGCAAAUACUUUAAAGGAAUGAGUCUCUGUCCUCUCCUUUUAGAAAAAAGUCCAACAGUCACUGCAAGUGAAGAAUAUUUCAUUUAUACAUUCUAGAACUUCUGCUCCUAGGUACUUAAUUAGUGCAAGAGACGUGUACUGUGCCUCUAUCAGAGUCAUAGAAGGCAUGUGACAAGAUUGUUAGACCUUUCCACGUCUCAUAUUCUUAGAAAAUUCAUGACUUCCAUCCAAUCAGUAGGAAGUGGUUUAUGAGGUAUAGCACAUCUGCAUUUCUUCAACAGUAGCUAUAAUGUACCAUAUUAAAUUAUAGUCUUUUGCAUGAAGCUAUAAUGUAACAUAAUAAUGAAUAGAUAUCUCCUAAUAGCAUGCAACCCAUGACUGUUUACUUCCCCAAAAGGGCUAGGGCUGUGUCCCACACAGUGUUCAAAACUAUUAAGUAUAUUUUUUGUAGCAGCCUGGUAUAUGACCAUCAGUAGAUUUAGAUAUGAAUGUAACAUAUCAGGAAAUAGAUUAUUAGUAGAGAAUGAUUAAAGGGAAAAAAACAGUAAGAUAAGAUGCAUUUAAGGAGUAAUGGCUGUCACCCUGUUGGCUAAAUCAGCAAAGGGACACAGCAGGAAAGUUCGUACUAUGUCUUAGUAAUAUAUGAAAUGCAUUGGAGAGCCAGAAAAACUAAAGCACUGGGGACCUCAGAAGUUAAGCUCAUGUUGCCAAUUUGUUACAAAUCCUUUUUUCCCACCAAUCUGCUUAAAAUGAUUAUAUAAAGUAUUCGUAAAACCAUGUGUCUUGCUACAGAAAUACCCAAAAAUACUAACUUUAUCUUCCUAAGUCCUUUAUUAAAAGCAUAUGCAUAAAAUUGUUGUUUCUUUUAUAUAUUAUGAUUCUGUAAACAGUGUUGGUAAAGCCUAAAAUUUCAGACCACUUUGAUGGAAGUUUCUAUAUAUCUCAUUUCAUGGGUAUAUAGUGUAUUGGUAUCUGUGGUAUGUAGACGCCUAUGUAACAUCUCAUCUUCCAAACACCCCCUCCAGCCCUGUGCUCAGUAUUCCUCUCUUAUGUUCCUAUGUGGAUAUGAGUGGUGAAAUCAGCAGCAAUGGCUUUUAGAUAGAAUGCUAACUGGUCUAAUCAUGUUCAGUCUCCACUCAACCUGACACAUAUUUUGCCUUUCCAUCUAUUAUUAUGAUAAGUAAAAAGAAAAAGAAAGAA